GAGGGGUGCUAGCGUUAUUCGGAAUUAUUGGGCGUAAAGGGUGCGUAGACGGCAUGUUAAGUUGGUUGUUAAAUCCUUCGGCUUAACCGGAGGCUUGCGAUCAAAACUGGCAAGCUAGAGGAUGGAAGAGAGAAGUGGAAUUCUCGGAGUAGCGGUAAAGUGCGUAGAUCUCGAGAGGAACACCAAUGGCGAAGGCAGCUUCUUGGUCCAUUCCUGACGUUGAGGCACGAAAGCGUGGGUAGCAAACAGGAUUAGAUACCCUGGUAGUCCACGCCGUAAACGAUAAUCACUUGAUGUUAGUCCCUGUUUACAGGAUUAGUAUCGAAGCUAACGCGUUAAGUGAUUCGCCUGGGAACUACGAUCGCAAGAUUA
rnacentral:rRNA from 1 species